rnacentral:rRNA from 1 species
GAGGAAUAUUGGUCAAUGGACGAGAGUCUGAACCAGCCAAGUAGCGUGAAGGAUGACUGCCCUAUGGGUUGUAAACUUCUUUUAUACGGGAAUAAAGUGAGGCACGUGUGCCUUUUUGUAUGUACCGUAUGAAUAAGGAUCGGCUAACUCCGUGCCAGCAGCCGCGGUAAUACGGAGGAUCCGAGCGUUAUCCGGAUUUAUUGGGUUUAAAGGGAGCGUAGGCGGACGCUUAAGUCAGUUGUGAAAGUUUGCGGCUCAACCGUAAAAUUGCAGUUGAUACUGGGUGUCUUGAGUACAGUAGAGGCAGGCGGAAUUCGUGGUGUAGCGGUGAAAUGCUUAGAUAUCACGAAGAACUCCGAUUGCGAAGGCAGCUUGCUGGACUGUAACUGACGCUGAUGCUCGAAAGUGUGGGUAUCAAACAGGAUUAGAUACCCUGGUAGUCCACACAGUAAACGAUGAAUACUCGCUGUUUGCGAUAUACAGUAAGCGGUCAAGCGAAAGCGUUAAGUAUUCCACCUGGGGAGUACGCCGGCAACGGUGAAACUCAAAGGAAUUGACGGGGGCCCGCACAAGCGGAGGAACAUGUGGUUUAAUUCGAUGAUACGCGAGGAACCUUACCCGGGCUUGAAUUGCAACUGAAUGAUGUGGAGACAUGUCAGCCGCAAGGCAGUUGUGAAGGUGCUGCAUGGUUGUCGUCAGCUCGUGCCGUGAGGUGUCGGCUUAAGUGCCAUAACGAGCGCAACCCUUAUCGAUAGUUACCAUCAGGUUAUGCUGGGGACUCUGUCGAGACUGCCGUCGUAAGAUGUGAGGAAGGUGGGGAUGACGUCAAAUCAGCACGGCCCUUACGUCCGGGGCUACACACGUGUUACAAUGGGGGGUACAGAAGGCAGCUACACGGCGACGUGAUGCUAAUCCCUAAAGCCUCUCUCAGUUCGGAUUGGAGUCUGCAACCCGACUCCAUGAAGCUGGAUUCGCUAGUAAUCGCGCAUCAGCCACGGCGCGGUGAAUACGUUCCCG